rnacentral:lncRNA from 1 species
UCUUCGCAUUAAUCCCAGGCAUCUAUCAAGUCUCAGUCUGUUUCAUUUGCAUAUGUAUCACCAUGAGAACACAGAUCAGCCCAAAAAAAACUUCUAGAAGCCAAAAGAUUUACAGGAUCAAGAGCUUUGUAAACAACCAAAAAUAGGCCGGGCCUGGUGGCUCACGUCUAUAAUCCCAGCACUUUGGGAGGCCGAGGCGGGUGGAUCACGAGGUCAAGAGAUCGAGACCAUCCUGGUCAACAUGGUGAAACCCCGUCUCUACUAAAAAUACAAAAAUUAGCUGGGCAUGGUGGUGCGUGCCUGUCUGUAAUCCCAGCACUUUGGGGGGCCGAGGCGGGUGGAUCACUUGAGGUCAGGAGUUCGAAACCAGCCUGCCCAACAUGGCGAAACCCCGUCUCUACUAAAAAUACAAAAUUAGCUGGGCAUGGUGGUGCGUGCCUGUAAUCCCAGCUACUCAGGAGGCUGAGGCAGGAGAAUUGCUUGAACUUGGGAGACAGAGGUUGUAGUGAGCCAAGAUCAUGCCACUGCACUCCAGCCUGGGCAACAAGAGCAAAACUCCAUCUCAAAAAGAAAAAAAAAAAAGAGAAAAACCUUCUCACAUAGUGGGUUGGGGCAUACAAGCUUGCAAGGAGUAGAUAUAUCUUUGGGGAAAAACUCACAUUAAGAACCAAGUUGAUUCAUUUUAGGUGUUGGCUUCUCAACUGGCAGCAUCAGUGAAUUCAUAUUAUGUAUUUAUUUAAACGAUACCCUCAGAAAUGUAGGCCUCUCUAUAGGUGAUCUUAUAUAAUGGAGCCAGAUGGGAGGUGGUUGAGGACUUGAAUUUAAAGUUUUCAAAAAUUUUUGCAAAUUUUUUAUUAAAGAGUGACAUAAAUACCCCAUUACUAAUAUUUAAUCGGAUGAGCAGCCAUAGGGGACCGCUAUGCCUUCUUCUUUUGCAAUUUUAUAGCUGCCAUGUUAUUUUUUAGAGGUUUAAAUAUAACAUCUCUUCACGACUCUGCAGGUUUUAAUUAUCAAAGCGGCUACAUCAAUUUUUGCCAAAAGCAGAGUGACCUUAUUUUAUAACUGAAACAAAGCCCAAAGCUUGGUCCCAGCAGCAGGCAGUUAAUA